rnacentral:rRNA from 1 species
UCAGGAAUAUUGGGCAAUGGGCGAAAGCCUGACCCAGCGAUGCCGCGUGUGUGAAGAAGGCCCUAGGGUUGUAAAGCACUUUCAGUCGUGAAGAAAAGCGUUGGGUUAAUACCCCAGCGUACUGACGUUAACGACAGAAGAAGUACCGGCUAACUCCGUGCCAGCAGCCGCGGUAAUACGGAGGGUACGAACGUUAAUCGGAAUUACUGGGCGUAAAGCGCGCGUAGGCGGUUUGAUAAGUGGGAUGUGAAAGCCCCGGGCUCAACCUGGGAACUGCAUUCCAAACUGUCAGACUAGAGUGUGGUAGAGGGAGGUAGAAUUUCCUGUGUAGCGGUGAAAUGCGUAGAUAUAGGAAGGAAUACCGAUGGCGAAGGCAGCCUCCUGGACCAACACUGACGCUGAGGUGCGAAAGCGUGGGGAGCAAACAGG